rnacentral:rRNA from 1 species
UACGUAGGUGGCGAGCGUUGUCCGGAUUUACUGGGCGUAAAGAGCGCGCAGGCGGUCGUUCAAGUCGCGUGUGAAAGCCCCCGGCUCAACUGGGGAGGGUCACGCGAUACUGAUCGACUCGAAGGCAGGAGAGGGUAGUGGAAUUCCCGGUGUAGUGGUGAAAUGCGUAGAUAUCGGGAGGAACACCUGUGGCGAAGGCGGCCCCCUGGUCGGAUACUGACGCUGAGACGCGAAAGCGUGGGGAGCAAACAGG